GAUGAACGCUGGCGGCGUGCCUAAUACAUGCAAGUCGAGCGAACGGACGAGAAGCUUGCUUCUCUGAUGUUAGCGGCGGACGGGUGAGUAACACGUGGAUAACCUACCUAUAAGACUGGGAUAACUUCGGGAAACCGUAGCUAAUACCGGAUAAUAUUUUGAACCGCAUGGUUCAAAAGUGAAAGACGGUCUUGCUGUCACUUAUAGAUGGAUCCGCGCUGCAUUAGCUAGUUGGUAAGGUAACGGCUUACCAAGGCAACGAUGCAUAGCCGACCUGAGAGGGGGAUCGGCCACACUGGAACUGAGACACGGUCCAGACUCCUACGGGAGGCAGCAGUAGGGAAUCUUCCGCAAUGGGCGAAAGCCUGACGGAGCAACGCCGCGUGAGUGAUGAAGGUCUUCGGAUCGUAAAACUCUGUUAUUAGGGAAGAACAUAUGUGUAAGUAACUGUGCACAUCUUGACGGUACCUAAUCAGAAAGCCACGGCUAACUACGUG
rnacentral:rRNA from 1 species